AGCAUAUCAAUAAGCGGAGGAAAAGAAACCAACAGGGAUUGCCUUAGUAACGGCGAGUGAAGCGGCAAUAGCUCAAAUUUGAAAUCUGGCCCUUGGGUCCGAAUUGUAAUUUGUAGAGGAUGAUUUUGGUGCGGUAUCUUCCGAGUUCCUUGGAACAGGACGCCUUAGAGGGUGAGAGCCCCGUACGGUUGAAUGCCUAGCCUCUGUAAAUCUCCUUCGACGAGUCGAGUAGUUUGGGAAUGCUGCUCUAAAUGGGAGGUAAAUUUCUUCUAAAGCUAAAUAUUGGCCAGAGACCGAUAGCGCACAAGUAGAGUGAUCGAAAGAUGAAAAGCACUUUGAAAAGAGGGUUAAAUAGCACGUGAAAUUGUUGAAAGGGAAGGAUUUGUGACCAGACUUUUUCUGGGCGGAUCAUCCGGGGUUCUCUCCGGUGCACUUCGCCCAGUAAAGGCCAGCAUCGGUUUUCGGCGUGGGAUAAAAGCAGUAGGAAUGUGGCUCUCUACGGGGAGUGUUAUAGCCUAUUGUAUAAUACCGCGCUGGGGACCGAGGUUCGCGCUUCUGCAAGGAUGCUGGCGUAAUGGUUAUCAAUCACCCGUCUUGAAACACGGACCAAGGAGUCGAACAUUUGUGCGAGUGUUUGGGUGUUAAACCCUCACGCGUAAUGAAAGUGAACGGAGGUGAGAGCCCUUACGGGUGCAUCAUCGACCGAUCCUGAAGUUUUCGGAUGGAUUUGAGUAAGAGCAUAACUGUUCGGACCCGAAAGAUGGUGAACUAUGCGUGGAUAGGGUGAAGCCAGAGGAAACUCUGGUGGAGGCUCGCAGCGGUUCUGACGUGCAAAUCGAUCGUCAAAUCUGCGCAUGGGGGCGAAAGACUAAUCGAACCAUCUAGUAGCUGGUUACCGCCGAAGUU
rnacentral:rRNA from 1 species